GCUGUGUCUGGGAAGGCGAGGCCAAGGCGGGAGCCAAUCAGAGCCCAGAGUGAGCUUUGUCUUCUUUGAGGUAAAGCAUCCUCUGGGUGGGUGGGAGAGCAGAAGCUGCAGCUGUGAAGCGAGUUCACAGCUAUACCUCCGAAAGGCUACCCUUGCCUUCCUCCCCUCUCUUUCCUUUCCUUUCUUCUGUGAUCAGUAGGCCAGAUUAUUGGGAAGGACAGAUUCAUUUAACGAUCGCUGACAAAAUCCAGUCCUCCCAUAUCCACCAUUCCUUUCUGUAUAUUUCGAUAGAAAUAAGGUGAUGUUCUAAAUUAAAGCUUAGCUCCCGAACCACCUGGCCCAAGAGAAAGGGUGACAAGAGAGGCAUUUAGGGUGAGAGGCGGAGGCGGAGGCGGAGAAGGCGGAGGCGAAGGCGAAUUAGUGUCAUAGAAAUAUUGUGCAGCCAGAGCAGAGGGGAGGCUUUGAAUGAAAACCCAGAUCUUCAAACAAGCCGACUGUUGCUGAAGCUCAGCACUGAUGUUUUGAAUGAAAACCCAGGCCUUCAAAAAGCCAGACAAUCGUGCAAGGUGAAAGGCCAGGACUUCGAUUACCUGAAAACAAUACGGACCAAAAAGAAGGAAAAGAAAAAAUUAUAAUCCUCUGCAGUCUGUUCAUCAGUAUGGACGGAACCAAGAUGGCGGAUUAGGGACACCCAACUGAACUCUCCCAACAUUCCCCUCCAAUCAACUUUAAAAUAACGCCUCAAACCAAAUUUUGGAGCAGCAGAGUCAACACAAAGUCGGGGCAAGACAUUUUUCAGGACUAAGAAAACAUAAGCAGUCAGCAGGAGAAGUCUGUGACACUGGGGUGGAGGCCUCUUUAAAUCCACCACCCCACAGGUGGUGAAAACGACAGUGUCCACAGCAGCAGCUUCAGGAGCUCUUAGCCCAAAGACUAUAAGGGGGUUGGACAACUGGUCAGAAAGAUUACAGAGGACCCUUUGCUGGCACUGGGUAUAGGUGAAGCUGAUUGGCAAAUAUUGUUUAUAUUCAUUUCUGGGCCACAAUUCCUGGGUGGAGAGGAGUCCUGGUGGUUGGUUACAAGAGAGCAAGGGCCCUAGUUACAGUUUCAAAGCAAACGAGUGCUAGGUCUUGUGGCUGCAGGGAAUUAGGGUUACUUCCUAGAUAAAGAUCAGAGUAUAGACCAGGAGACCAGUGAUCAUACUGCCCCAGUGUGGCACAAAAUUCAUAGCCAAGGUGUAGGCUGGGGGAAUGAGCAAACAGAAAAAGAGCUUCACAAUAAGAAAUUCUCACUCUGGAAAGGACGACCACGACAAAAAGGGAGACGAAGACUACAAUAUGAAAUCCGCUUCAAAAAAAGGCUCAAAGAAAAAUGCCAACUGGUCUCACCCCGACCAAGAUUUUAUGGAUGAGUUGAAGAAGGAAGUAAGAGUGGUAGAGGAAAAAUUAGGAAAAGAAAUGAGAGUGAUGCAAGAAAAUUAUGAAAAGAAAGUUAGCAGCUUGGUAAGAGAGGCACAAAAAAAUACUGAAGAAAAUAGCACCUUAAAAAACAAAUUAGGCCAAAUGGCAAAAGAGGCACAAAAAUCCACUGAAGAGAAGAACUCCUUAAAAAUCAAAAUUGGCAUAAUGGAAAAGGAUGUACGAAAAUUCACUGAUGAGAAGAAUUUCUUAAAAAGCAGAAUUGGCCAAAUGGAAAAAGAGGUACAGCAUCUCACUGAAGAAAAUAGGUCCUUGAAAAUUAGAAUGGUGCAAGUGGAAGCUAAUGACUCCAUGAGACAUCAAGAAACAG